UACGUAGGGUGCGAGCGUUAAUCGGAAUUACUGGGCGUAAAGCGUGCGCAGGCGGUUAUGUAAGACAGAUGUGAAAUCCCCGGGCUUAACCUGGGAACUGCGUUUGUGACUGCAUAACUGGAGUACGGCAGAGGGGGGUGGAAUUCCUGGUGUAGCAGUGAAAUGCGUAGAUAUCAGGAGGAACACCGAUGGCGAAGGCAGCCCCCUGGGCCGAUACUGACGCUCAUGCACGAAAGCGUGGGGAGCAAAC
rnacentral:rRNA from 1 species